CCUACGGGUGGCAGCAGUGAGGAAUAUUGGUCAAUGGGCGGAAGCCUGAACCAGCCAAGUAGCGUGCAGGAUGACGGCCCUACGGGUUGUAAACUGCUUUUAUACGGGAAUAACGCGCCUUACGUGUAGGGCUUUGCAUGUACCGUAUGAAUAAGGACCGGCUAAUUCCGUGCCAGCAGCCGCGGUAAUACGGAAGGUCCGGGCGUUAUCCGGAUUUAUUGGGGUUAAAGGGAGCGUAGGCCGCAUGUCAGGCGUGCUGUGAAAUGUCCGGGCGCAACCCGGGCCUUGCAGGGCGAACUGGCGUGCUGGAGUGGGCGGAGGGCAGGGGGAAGUGGGGGUGGAGGGGGGAAAGG
rnacentral:rRNA from 1 species